UCUUGGACAUGCCUUGCAUGGCAGGCUCCCCGCACGUACGUGCGGCCAACUGUCAUGGGGCUGUCUUCUCAGUGUCCCUUCGUUUAUCCAUUUCGGUUGCUCGGGGUCCCCUCGAAUUCGGUUGCCUGUGCGGUCUUACCAUCGUUGGUAGCACAAUUGUCCCGCUUUUGCGUAUUAUGCUUGCUCCGUGGAUGCUAUGCAUCGAUGGGCGGCCGAGGCGUUGGCAAACUCCAUGCGCUGCGAUGCACUCUGUGCGUUGGAACUGCUCAUUGGAUGUUUGUCAGGUCUCACGGAUAUCAGUACCUACGUUGAGCGGUCUGCGGGCUUAAAGCCUGCAGGCUCAUGGUGUUGCCCACGCACAUAAAUUUGCUGCUGAUGUUCCCUUGACGCGUGUUCUUUCGGGAUCCAUGUUGAGGGAUCUCACUCGGCGCAUGUUGGCGUGUGUGGGCAUAUCCUCACCGACCGAAUGAUACGCGAUUGCCGGUCUGCAUUGUCACGGGGCG
rnacentral:misc_RNA from 1 species